AGUUGUAUCCUGGCUCAGAACGAACGCUGGCGGCAGGCCUAAUACAUGCAAGUCGAGCGCGCCCUUCGGGGUGAGCGGCGGACGGGUGAGUAACGCGUGGGAAUAUGCCCUUCUCUAAGGAAUAGCCUCUGGAAACGGAGAGUAAUACCUUAUACGCCCUUCGGGGGAAAGAUUUAUCGGAGAAGGAUUAGCCCGCGUUAGAUUAGGUAGUUGGUGGGGUAAUGGCCUACCAAGCCUACGAUCUAUAGCUGGUUUGAGAGGAUGAUCAGCCACACUGGGACUGAGACACGGCCCAGACUCCUACGGGAGGCAGCAGUAGGGAAUCUUAGACAAUGGGGGCAACCCUGAUCUAGCCAUGCCGCGUGUGUGAUGAAGGCCCUAGGGUCGUAAAGCACUUUCGCCAGAGAUGAUAAUGACAGUAUCUGGUAAAGAAACCCCGGCUAACUCCGUGCCAGCAGCCGCGGUAAUACGGAGGGGGUUAGCGUUGUUCGGAAUUACUGGGCGUAAAGCGCACGUAGGCGGAUUAGUAAGUUAGAGGUGAAAUCCCAGGGCUCAACCCUGGAACUGCCUUUAAUACUGCUAGUCUUGAGUUCGAGAGAGGUAAGUGGAAUUCCGAGUGUAGAGGUGAAAUUCGUAGAUAUUCGGAGGAACACCAGUGGCGAAGGCGGCUUACUGGCUCGAUACUGACGCUNAGGUGCGAAAGUGUGGGGAGCAAACAGGAUUAGAUACCCUGGUAGUCCACACCGUAAACGAUGAAUGCCAGACGUCAGCAAGUAUACUUGUUGGUGUCACACCUAACGGAUUAAGCAUUCCGCCUGGGGAGUACGGUCGCNAAGAUUAAAACUCAAAGGAAU
rnacentral:rRNA from 1 species